AUCUGUCUCCUACAAAACAGGCCACUGGGAACCAUGGCGAUUCUCCUAUAUGAUAGAUACUAAUUGCCUCUAACUUUCUUCAUUGCUGUUACCUGACUGCUGGCAUUUCAGGUUCAUUUAGAUGAUCUGCUGCAGAGAUCUCAUGACAAGCUGUCCUCCACAGCCUCUCUACCUCAGGCCAAGUCAAGAUCCUUUUAAUAUAUUUCCUUUGGAAAUCCUGCUCCUUUCCUUCCUAACACUCAGAUCAAAUGAGAAAAUUAAAGCUCAGAGAGAGUAGCAACACAUCAUGCACACAGAAGACAAUAGGUUAGAGGGUAUGGGCUUGAAGACCACAAGAUUCUACUCCAGAGUGGUGGUCAGUAUGCCCUGUUUCUAUGAUGAUCUCCAUGGAAGGGAAGUUUCAGAGAAGUUCACUUUAAUGAUCGCUAACCAAUUUGUAUAGGCAAGCUUCAAUAAUGGACGACCCAUAAAAUAUAAUUGAUGCAAAUAGCCAUUUCAGAGGAACAAUGAAGUUUGCAUCCCAAUAAAGUGUUUUGCUAUGAAUCACAUAUUUUAAAAUUUUUUGAUUAAAGAGUAUAUACAUGAUAUCUUCUCUCUUAAAUUUUUAAGUGCACUACAGUAUCAUUAACAAUAAACACAAGGUGAUAUAGCAGAACUCUAAAACUCUAUCUUGCAUGUUAUAGCUGCUGAACAGACCUUUUUAACUCCCUGCUUCCAAGAGGUUGACUACUUUAGAUGCCUCAUAUAUGCAGUAUCAUGUAUUUUUUAUUUUCUUGACUCUUUUUAGUUA